AUUGAACGCUGGCGGCAUGCCUUACACAUGCAAGUCGAACGGCAGCACGGGAGCAAUCCUGGUGGCGAGUGGCGAACGGGUGAGUAAUACAUCGGAACGUGCCCAGUAGUGGGGGAUAACCCGGCGAAAGCCGGACUAAUACCGCAUACGACCUACGGGUGAAAGCGGGGGAUCGCAAGACCUCGCGCUAUCGGAGCGUCCGAUGUCAGAUUAGCUAGUUGGUGGGGUAAAGGCCUACCAAGGCGACGAUCUGUAGCUGGUCUGAGAGGACGACCAGCCACACUGGGACUGAGACACGGCCCAGACUCCUACGGGAGGCAGCAGUGGGGAAUUUUGGACAAUGGGCGCAAGCCUGAUCCAGCCAUGCCGCGUGCGGGAAGAAGGCCUUCGGGUUGUAAACCGCUUUUGUCAGGGAAGAAACGCUCCGGGCUAAUACCACGGAGUAAUGACGGUACCUGAAGAAUAAGCACCGGCUAACUACGUG
rnacentral:rRNA from 1 species